rnacentral:rRNA from 1 species
AUUGAACGCUGGCGGCAUGCUUUACACAUGCAAGUCGAACGGUAACAGGCCGCAAGGUGCUGACGAGUGGCGAACGGGUGAGUAAUGCAUCGGAACGUGCCCAGUCGUGGGGGAUAACGCAGCGAAAGCUGUGCUAAUACCGCAUACGAUCUAUGGAUGAAAGCGGGGGACCGUAAGGCCUCGCGCGAUUGGAGCGGCCGAUGUCAGAUUAGGUAGUUGGUGGGGUAAAGGCUCACCAAGCCGACGAUCUGUAGCUGGUCUGAGAGGACGACCAGCCACACUGGGACUGGGACACGGCCCAGACUCCUACGGGAGGCAGCAGUGGGGAAUUUUGGACAAUGGGCGCAAGCCUGAUCCGGCAAUGUCGCGUGCAGGAAGAAGGCCUUCGGGUUGUAAACUGCUUUUGUACGGAACGAAACGGCGAGCUCUAAUACAGUUUGCUAAUGACGGUACCGUAAGAAUAAGCACCGGCUAACUACGUGCCAGCCGCCACCGUAA